rnacentral:misc_RNA from 1 species
GAUGAAGAACGUAGCGAAAUGCGAUAAGUAAUGUGAAUUGCAGAAUUCAGUGAAUCAUCGAAUCUUUGAACGCACCUUGCGCCCUUUGGCCAUUCCAAAGGGCAUGCCUGUUUGAGUAUCAUGAACACCUCAACUCUUGUGGUUUCCCACAAUGAGCUUGGACUGUGGAGGUUUUGUUGGCCCUGUGGUCAGCUCCUCUCAAAUGGAUCAGCUUACCGGUGUUUGGUGGCAUUACGGGUGUGAUAACUAUCUACGCUCGUGGUCGUCUCCAAAUAACCUCCAGUGAUGGAGGUUCGCUGGAGCUUAUAAAUGUCUCUCCCCAGUGAAGACAGCCUUUGAACGUUCGAUCUCAAAUCAGGUAGGACUACCCGCUGAACUUAAGCAUAUCAAUAAGCGGAGGA